rnacentral:lncRNA from 1 species
CUGCAAAGACCUAGAUUUGUCUCACCUUAUUUUAACUACAUAAAAAUUAAUUACCUGGUUUCGGCUAUGCAUCCAUAAUUUUCCUUUAGCCAAGGGAAAAAUACAGUAACCAAUACACAGCAAUUCAUCCUGGCCCAGGAGAGAUUUUACUUUCUAGCAACAUGUGUUCCUGUCAUUUGCUGUUGCAAGAGACCCAGAUGGCUGUCUUGGAGCAGAGGCCUGCCUUUCAUGUAUUUAUACACAGGUUAGAUGGAUCUCAGGUUGCAAGGCUGCAAUGUACUCUACCAUUAGCAACAGGUAAACAUUGAAAAGCAAGGAGAUGCCUGAAGAUUUUGCCCAUCUCUCACAGUUUCCACAAAUAUUUAUGGAAAAUAUCUAAUUCAGAUCAAUUUGCACUUACAGAAAUGGUACAGUAUGUUUAUCAACCAUUGAAAUAAUAAUUAAAAAAAAAUAGUAUGGGAUGUUGGGGCAAUGAAGGGUUAUUUUUGAUUAUUUUUGAUGGUAAUUGAGGGAGGAGGUGGGGAGCAGAGAGAAAACAGUCAGUCAGCAUUUAGGUGAAGGGAUAGCAGAGUGGCUGCCCUGCACUGGGCAGGGGCUGGAGGCAAGGGAAGGUAAUGUGCAUGGCUGUGUGCGUGGCUCCAUGCUGCUGUGCUGCUGCUCACAUCUGCUCCUCAUCACCAGCAGUGCCAUCUGCUUGGUUGUCUUUUCUGGAAUUAGUUCUGAUUUUUUCUGUUUUUCCUCUUCCAGCAAGGGGUGUUUUCCAGCUCUGGACUGGCUCUGCUCCUCCACAGCUGUCCCUUCCCAUAGAGCCUACUUCUUAAGAAGGAAUCGAACUAAAGCAGUAGGAAUGGUGUGCAGGAGACAUAAUCAAAAUGGAUGAAAUGCUUCCAAGCACGAGGGAAGGAGGCAUUCUUCCUUCUCUAUCUAUCAAAGGAGAAGAGGAGCUACCUGGGUAAGUUCCUCACUCAGUCUCGUGGUAAUGAAAAAAUCGUCAGUAGAAGAGAGUUUCUUUCCAUAUAAAAUAAGAAGUUUGAAGACAAUAUUCUUUCUUGAUGCAAUGAUUUACAUGCAGAGUCUCCCAGACCCUCCCAGUGAGUGUGGACGUGUCUAAGAAGGCUCACGUGCUACCCUCACACACUGCAGAAAGAAGUUGUUUUUGGCAGCUAAGCACAGGCUGGCAAGCUGCAAAGCUGCUUUUUACAAUGCAAUGCAGAAACAGAGCCACCAGAACGACUCCUUUUCUGUUUACAUAACAUCAUGCAGCUUCUUUACCUGACAGCUUAUUUUGUCCAGAAUGAAUACAAAGGCCACUUAGGACACAACAGGAUGUGGCAGCAGUGUUUUUCAAAUCUCAGCACAAAACCAGCACUCCAUUAGCAAUCUUUUCACAGCUGCAUGCUUUCAUGAUUUAAAACUGUGUUUCAGAGUGUAUUUAACUAAUUAAAAUUGGUCACGAUUCUUUUUCAAGUAUAUUGCUGCUUUAUCAAAGGAAGUUGGCUGUGUGCUUAAAUCAAUACAAACAAGCGAAAACGAAAACAGAGUGGUUUAGAAGCUGUGAGGCUGAGUUAAGCUGCUUUACUUCUAAGACGAUCCACCAAUCCUGAGGAGAUCAACAGGUCUUCCAUAUUUCUAAGUACGCUAUUUUAACCGUGGAUCUAUCACGCUUACUUUAUGGCCUCGGAGGAAUUGGAGGAACAAUUUUCCUCCCAAGAGGACAUAAAAUUUAGCCUUUGUAGCAUCAGUUAAAAAGAAGCAGGAGCACUGCCCUUUUGAUAAUACCCUCAUAAUACCUGAGCAAGACGGUUAUAAGCCAGGAUUUGCAGUACAGUUUUUAUCUCUUAGCCAAUUUUUUUUAGUCUCCUGAACACCAUUCCUAGGUU